UACAGAGGGGGCAAGCGUUAUUCGGAAUUAUUGGGCGUAAAGGGCGCGUAGGCGGCUUGGCAAGUGGAUGGUGAAAUCCCUCGGCUUAACCGAGGAACUGCCGUCCAAACUGCUUCGCUUGAGACCGGGAGAGGUGAGUGGAAUUCCCAGCGUAGCGGUGAAAUGCGUAGAUAUUGGGAGGAACACCAGUGGCGAAGGCGGCUCACUGGACCGGUACUGACGCUGAUGCGCGAAAGCGUGGGGAGCAAACGGG
rnacentral:rRNA from 1 species